UAAGGGAACAUUUCAGGAUCUGAGACUGAUGACGUAUUAAAAUCAGUACGUUUUCACCGCCUCUGUUUUAGGUGACGACAUUCCCUCCCGCAUGAGUUUUCUAGCCCAUGUGCCUGUGGGAUGUUGUUUUGUACUUAUCAUCUAUAUCAUCAUCACUGUCAUCUACCUGAAGAAGAAGAAAAGGGCUGUUAAUCACUCUGUUCUGCAGGAAGGCAGGGACCAAGACACACUGAGCGUGGAGAAAGAACAACAGACCUGAAUAGCUCUGUAUGCACCUAUGUGAUUUACUCCUACUAACACAGACACCCGUCACAGAACAAAUCAAGAGGAAGUUAGCAAAAACACCACUGAGCUAGUUCAUAAACAGUGAUAUAUAUACUGGCCACCAGAUGGCAGCAUGCAAGAGCUCCUCUCUCUCUGACUCUCCCACACACUCCCUCCCUCCCUCUGUUGUUUUCUUCUGCCGUCUUCCUCCACUCUCUGUCCAGCACACAGCCUGUAGUGACCCUCCUUUCAGUUCUGAGCCUAAUGCCUGUCAGCGUCACUCUCUUUGAUUUUGCUGAUUGUCAAUAUUACUGAGCUCUAAGACGUGACGUCCAGCCAGAGUGAGUCCAUUAAUGCGAGUGCAAAAUAAAAACUUUCAUCUCUUA